UACGUAGGGUGCGAGCGUUGUCCGGAAUUAUUGGGCGUAAAGAGCUUGUAGGCGGUUUGUCGCGUCUGCUGUGAAAAUCCGGGGCUCAACCCCGGACUUGCAGUGGGUACGGGCAGACUAGAGUGUGGUAGGGGAGACUGGAAUUCCUGGUGUAGCGGUGAAAUGCGCAGAUAUCGAGAGGAACACCUGCGGCGAAGGCGGGUGGCUGGGCCGACACUGACGCUGAGGCGCGAAAGCCAGGGGAGCGAACGGG
rnacentral:rRNA from 1 species